rnacentral:lncRNA from 1 species
GGCGUUUCUUUUCCAGUAGUCUAAAAUCUGUUGGAGGGGGGAAAAGGUUCCAGCUGUCCAGCCGCGGCGGCAGCGGUGUGUCUGAAGUCCGGGGUCCUCGGCGGGGGAAAGAAGAUUGGCGCUCCGCGGCAAGGUUUGCUGGGACUCGGUGCCGUCGGCGGGUCGAAGCUCGGUGGUGGGCGGCUUGGAGUGAUGGAGGUGUCUUCUUUCAGGUGGCGGCGCGGCGUCUUCCUCGAGGCGUUGGUCGGUCUUCUAGGUCCAGUGGUCAGUGCUUUGUCUCAAUAACAGGAACAGGAAUUGCUCAUUAGUGCACAGCACUUAAAUGUGCUUUUGACAGGAGAAGACAUCCCCAGAGUUGGGCUCGAGUCAUGGUUUGUGCUGUUCCUCUCAGACAUGGUUGUGUUCUCUUCUCGAUGUUUGUAUUCCAGAAUGGAUGUCUCUUGGUUGUAUUUUAAACUUUCAAGUUGUUUUAAGUUAAUUUUAAUGUAGUUUAUUUGUUUUAAAUUUAGUUUUGCUACAUUAAAUUUGUAUGCAAUCGUAAGGGAUUGUGGGUAUUUUAGUUCUGAGGGAUGAGAGCCUAAGGAAUCGAUCUUCCUGUUACAGCAAAGGAUUGUGGGUAAAACCGUGAGUGAGUGAGGUACUUCCUUUCUGCCAUGAGAGCCUUGGGAAUCAAUCUCCCUGUUGCAGCAAAGGAUUGUGGGUAAAACCGUGAGUGAGGGAGGUACAUUUUUCCUGGCAUGAGAACCUCAGGAGUCAGUCCUUCCUAAGAAAAAAGAGGGGAGGGGGGAAGACAAACAAAAGCACAGGAACCCUAAAAUGAAAUAAAAUAAAAUAAAAUAAAAUAAUAUAAAACAAUGAAAAAAUAAAAAAUAAAAAAGAAGAACAAAAGUGGAUUGCAAAAGGGAAAGGAGAAGAAAAAAGGAAAAAAAGAAGUGUCAAGAGCAAAUAGCAAAAAACAGAAGUGAGCUUAAAAACAGAGAACAGUUCCCUAAAAGACAGAAAUGUAAAUUUGAUCAAUGUCCUAAGGGAAAAUCUGCACGUGUAUGUGUUUUCUUUUUUACUAGCUUAGUCUGGUGUCACUGAUGGUCAGUUAUCAAUAAGUAUUUAUUAUUUAAAUUUUUGAUGAAGUUGUUUGUAGUGGGGUUAGCUGGCUAAUUUUAGUGUGUUAAAAAAGAUGUUAGAGGGGGAGGAUUUAGGUGGCAUGGCGGUUCCCCUUCAGGUCUCUCUUAAUCCUCAAUAUAGGUGACCCAACAGGGGUUACCCCCCGGCCGGGGUAGGCCGAGGCUGAAGAUCACCUAUUUGUCCUCUGUGAAGGUGAAAAUAAAGGGGCAGGGGAGGGAAUAAGAAAGAGGGGGGGUGUUAGAGAGAGGGGGAGAGAUGAGGGAGAGAGAUGAGGGAGAGAGAGAGGGGGGGGGGGGGGGGUGAGAGUGAGAGAGAGAGAAGGGAAGAGGGAGAGGGGGGUUUAAGGGAGAGGUGGAGAUGGUGGAAAAUAAAGAUUGGUGAGGGGGAUUUGGUGGCGGAUGAAACAUCCCAUAGCUCCCCAGCUCUCACCAUCCAUGUGAGGAGAGUGAGCAAGGGACAUAGUCACCCGACCCGACUAGGUCUAGGCUCUGCUCUCCUCACGGUCCUCACAAGAUACAAAGAGAUAUGUAAACGUGGAAGUGAGAGUUCUCUAGGCAGAGUUUUGGGUUUGGUUUGAGCUGAGUUGGUCAGUUGAUUAUUGAUUACUAUUUUAAGUUCUAAAAGUGGAUAGAGUCAAAAAGUCACAGAGGAUUGUGGUGGGAGCAGGUGGUCCAUCUGGCACCAUUCUGCUCAUGCAGGGAUUCGAGUGAUAGAAAGAGAAUAGAUCUUGCCACCGUGACUCGCCAUUGAGACUCUCCUCACCUGCUGGUUUUCAUCCUCUGAUAGGAGAGAGAGGUACAGAUCAGGAGAGAGGGAGAAAAGGAGGGAGGCAGGGUGGGGUCAGGAGUUAAUUUGUCUUGAAAAGUAUUUAUCUUUUCGUCAUUGCUGUUAGGGUUUAGAUGUUUUUUGUUUAGUUUUCUGAGGAAUGUAGUGUUAGUAUAGGUUCCAAGGUGGAGGAUUCUUUGGAAUUCACUCUCACCCUUGAAACUGGAAGAUCUUAGAUUCUAUAAAGGGGGGGGGGGGGUGAGAGGUUGUGUGCACAGAAGGAGCAUGGGCUCAGACUAUUCUCGGAAUGAUAUUGUGACAAGUCUGUCCGAAGGUAAGUGGCUGGUUAGGUGUGGGAAAGAGAUAGAGUGAUAGCCCCCGCUUUCGUCAGUUGACUUGGCGGUUUGAGGUAGGCUGAUCAAGGGCUUGCACUGGCCGGCGCAUGUCGACCUGUCACAUGUUCCAGUCGAGUCUCCGAGCUCAAUCUGUGUGUAAAAAUUAUGUGUUGGUAGAAAGUUUAAUGACUCAGCUCAGUUGGUAUGCUAUGCUGUCUAUCUUUUAGACUAUGUGUUUGUAGAGCAAUAUUAUGUAUAUAUUAUGUUACAGGGCUAGGAAAAGGUUAAAGGUUUUUGACGUUAGGGUUAAAAUCACUGUCCAAAACCUUUGUAGGAACUCUUUUCCAACCUUUUGGAGGGAGCUAGACUAGAAAAAAAAGAAAAAAGAAAAAAAAAAAUUUGGGGUGUUCGGGCUUCCUGAAGGUAAUACCUGGGUAUUAGGUUAUGGGGCUAGGGUAAGGUUUAAGGCUUUUGGCGUGAGGGUUAAAAUCACUGUCCAAAACCUUUGUAGGAAGUCUUUUCCAACCUUUUGGAGUUAGUUAGACCAAUAAAAAAAUGAAAAAUAAAAAAAAAAUAUUUGGGGUGUUCGGUCUUCCUGAAGGUAAUACCCGGUUAUUAGGUUUUGGGGCUAGGAUUAGGUUUAAGGUUUUUGGCGUUAGGGUUAAAAUCACUGUCCAAUAUUUUUUAAGGAACAUGUUUCAGACCUUUUGGAGUCAGUUAGACCAAAAAAAAAGAAAAAAGAAAAAAAAAUAUUUGGGGUUUUCGGGCUUCCUGAAGGUAUUAGGUUAUGGGGCUAGGGUAAGGUUUAAGGUUUUUGGCGUAAGGGUUAAAAUCACUGUCCAAAACCUUUUAAGGAACAAGAUUCAGACCUUUUGGAGUUGGUGACACCAAAAAAAGAUGUAAAAUGAAAAAAAAAAUAUUUGGGGUGUUCGGGCUUCCUGAAGGUAAUACCCUUCAGGGGUAUUAGGUUAUGGGGCUAGGAUUAGGUUUAAUGUUUUUGGCGUUAGGGUUAAAAUCACUGUCCAAUAUUUUUAAGGAACAUGUUUCAGACCUUUUGGAGCUAGUUUGAUCAAAAAAAAAGAAAAAUAAAAAAUAUAUAUUUGGGGUGUUCGGGCUUCCUGAAGGUAAUACCCGGGUAUUAGGUUAUGGGGCUAGGGUAAGGUUUAAGGUUUUUGGCGUAAGGGUUAAAAUCACUGUCCAAAACCUUUGUAGGAAGUUUUUCCAACCUUUUGGAGUUAGUUAGAAAAAAAAAAGAUAAAUGAAAAAAAUAUUUGGGGUGUUCGGGCUUCCUGAAGGUAAUACCCGGGUAUUAGGUUAUGGGGCUAUGGUAAGGUUUAACGUUUUGGCGUUAGGGUUAAAAUCACUGUCCAAAACCUUUGUAGGAACUCUUUAACAACCUUUUGGAGUUAGUUAGACCAAAAAAAAAUGAAAAAUUAAAAAAAAUAUUUGGGGUGUUCAGGCUUCCUAAAAGUAAUACCCGGGUAUUAGGUUAUGGGGCUAUGGUAAGGUUUAAGGUUUUUGGCGUUAGGGUUAAAAUCACUGUCCAAAACCUUUGUAGGAACUCUUUUUCAACCUUUUGGAGUUAGUUAGACCAAAAAAAAAAUGAAAAAUGAAAAAAAAAUAUUUGGGGUGUUCGGGCUUCCUGAAGGUAAUACCCGGGUAUUAGGUUAUGGGGCUAGGGUAAGGUUUAAGGUUUUUGGCGUUAGGGUUAAAAUCACUGUCCAAAACCUUUGUAGGAACUCUUUUCCAACCUUUUGGAGUUAGUUAGACCAAAAAAAAUGAAAAAAAAAAAAAAAAAUAUUUGGGGUUUUCGGGCUUCCUGAAAGUAAUACCCGGGUAUUAGGUUAUGGGGCUAUGGUAAGGUUUAAGGUUUUGGCGUUAGGGUUAAAAUCACUGUCCAAAACCUUUGUAGGAACUCUUUUCCAACCUUUUGGAGUUAGUUAGACCAAAAAAAAAUGAAAAAUAAAAAAAAAUAUUUGGGGUGUUCAGGCUUCCUAAAAGUAAUACCCGGGUAUUAGGUUAUGGGGCUAUGGUAAGGUUUAAGGUUUUUGGCGUUAGGGUUAAAAUCACUGUCCAAAACCUUUGUAGGAACUCUUUUCCAACCUUUUGGAGUUAGUUAGACCAAAAAAAAAUGAAAAAUGAAAAAAAAAUAUUUGGGGUGUUCGGGCUUCCUGAAGGUAAUACCCGGGUAUUAGGUUUUGGGGCUAGGGUAAGGUUUAAGGUUUUUGGCGUUAGGGUUAAAAUCACUGUCCAAAACCUUUGUAGGAACUCUUUUCCAACCUUUUGGAGUUAGUUAGACCAAAAAAAAAUGAAAAAUGAAAAAAAAAAUAUUUGGGGUUUUCAGGCUUCCUGAAGGUAAUUCCCGGGUAUUAGUUUUGGGGCUAGGGUAAGGUUUAAGGUUUUUGGCGUUAGGGUUAAAAUCACUGUCCAAAACCUUUGUAGGAACUCUUUUCCAACCUUUUGGAGUUAGUUAGACCAAAAAAAAAAAGAAAAAUGAAAAAAAAAUAUUUGGGGUUUUCGGGCUUCCUAAAGUAAUAAGUAUUAGGUUAUGGGGCUAUGGUAAGGUUUAAGUUUUUGGCGUUAGGGUUAAAAUCACUGUCCAAAACCUUUGUAGGAACUCUUUCCAACCUUUUGGAGUUAGUUAGACCAAAAAAAAAUGAAAAAUAAAAAAAAAUAUUUGGGGUGUUCAGGCUUCCUAAAAGUAAUACCCGGGUAUUAGGUUAUGGGGCUAUGGUAAGGUUUAAGGUUUUUGGCGUUAGGGUUAAAAUCACUGUCCAAAACCUUUGUAGGAACUCUUUUCCAACCUUUUGGAGUUAGUUAGACCAAAAAAAAAAGAAAAAUGGACAAAAAAAUAUUUGGGGUUUACGGGCUUCCUGAAUGUAAUACCCGGGUAUUAGAUUUUAAGGCCAGGGAAAGGUUUAAGUUUUUGGCGUUAGGGUUAAAAUCACUGUCCAAAACCUUUGUAGGAACUCUUUUCCAACCUUUUGGAGUUAGUUAGACCAAAAAAUAUGAAAAAAGAAAAAAAUAUUUGGGGUUUUCGGGCUUCCUGAAAGUAAUACCCGGGUAUUAGGUUUUGGGGCUAGGGUAAGGUUUAAGGUUUUUGGCGUUAGGGUUAAAAUCACUGUCCAAAACCUUUGUAGGAACUCUUUUCCAACCUUUUGGAGUUAGUUAGACCAAAAAAAAAAGAAAAAUGAAAAAAAAAUAUUUGGGGUGUUCGGGCUUCCUAAGUAAUACCCGGGUAUUAGGUUAUGGGGCUAUGGUAAGGUUUAAGGUUUUGGCGUUAGGGUUAAAAUCACUGUCCAAAACCUUUGUAGGAACUCUUUUCAACCUUUUGGAGUUAGUUAGACCAAAAAAAAAUGAAAAAUAAAAAAAUAUAUUUGGGGUGUUCAGGCUUCCUGAAAGUAAUACCUGGGUAUUAGGUUAUGGGGCUAUGGUAAGGUUUAAGGUUUUUGGCGUUAGGGUUAAAAUCACUGUCCAAAACCUUUGUAGAAACUCUUUUCCAACCUUUUGGAGUUAGACCAAAAAAAAACUAAAAAUGAAAAAAAAAAUAUUUGGGGUUUUCGGGCUUCCUGAAGGUAAUACCCGGGUAUUAGGUUUUGGGGCUAGGGUAAGGUUUAAGGUUUUUGGCGUAGGGUUAAAAUCACUGUCCAAAACCUUUGUAGGAACUCUUUUCCAACCUUUUGGAGUUAGUUAGACCAAAAAAAAUGAAAAAAGAAAAAAAUAUAUUUGGGGUUUUCGGGCUUCCUGAAGGUAAUACCCGGGUAUUAGGUUUUGGGGCUAUGGUAAGGUUUAAGGUUUUUGGCGUUAGGGUUAAAAUCACUGUCCAAAACCUUUGUAGGAACUCUUUUCCAACCUUUUGGAGUUAGUUAGAAAAAAAAAAAAUGAAAAAGAAAAAAAAUAUUUGGGGUCUUCGGGCUUCCUGAAGGUAAUACCCGGGUAUUAGGUUAUGGGGCUAGGGUAAGGUUUAAGGUUUUUGGCGUUAGGGUUAAAAUCACUGUCCAAAACCUUUUUAGGAACAUGUUUCAGACCUUUUGGAGUUAGUUAGACCAAAAAAAAAAAGAUAAAUGAAAAAAAAAUAUUUGGGGUGUUCGGGCUUCCUGAAGGUAAUACCCGGGUAUUAGGUUAUGGGGCUAGGGUAAGGUUUAAGGUUUUUGGCGUUAGGGUUAAAAUCACUGUCCAAAACCUUUGUAGGAACUCUUUUCCAACCUUUUGGAGUUAGUUAGACCAAAAAAAAAAGAAAAAUGAAAAAAAUAUAUAUUUGGGGUGUUCGGGCUUCCUGAAGGUAAUACCCGGGUAUUAGGUUAUGGGGCUAGGGUAAGGUUUAAGGUUUUUGGCGUAGGGUUAAAAUCACUGUCCAAAACCUUUGUAGGAACUUUUCAACCUUUUGGAGUUGGUUACACCAAAAAAAAUGUAAAAUGAAAAAAAAUAUAUUUGGGGUGUUCGGGCUUCCUGAAGGUAAUACCCGGUAUUAGGUUUGGGGCUAGGGUAAGGUUUAAGGUUUUUGGCGUUAGGGUUAAAAUCACUGUCCAAAACCUUUGUAGGAACUCUUUUCCAACCUUUUGGAGUUAGUUAGACCAAAAAAAAAUGAAAAAUGAAAAAAAAAAUAUUUGGGGUGUUCGGGCUUCCUGAAGGUAAUACCCGGGUAUUAGGUUAUGGGGCUAGGGUAAGGUUUAAGGUUUUUGGCGUUAGGGUUAAAAUCACUGUCCAAAACCUUUGUAGGAACAAUUUUCCAACCUUUUGGAGUUAGUUAGACCAAAAAAAAUGAAAAAUGAAAAAAAAAAUAUUUGGGGUUUUCGGGCUUCCUGAAGGUAAUACCCGGGUAUUAGGUUAUGGGGCUAGGGUAAGGUUUAAGGUUUUUGGCGUUAGGGUUAAAAUCACUGUCCAAAACCUUUGUAGGAACUCUUUUCCAACCUUUUGGAGUUAGUUAGACCAAAAAAAAAGAUAAAUGAAAAAAAAAUAUUUGGGGUGUUCGGGCUUCCUGAAGGUAAUACCCGGGUAUUAGGUUAUGGGGCUAGGGUAAGGUUUAAGGUUUUUGGCGUAAGGGUUAAAAUCACUGUCCAAAACCUUUUAGGAACAUGUUUCAGACCUUUUGGAGUUGGUUACACCAAAAAAAAUGUAAAAUGAAAAAAAAAUAUUUGGGGUGUUCGGGCUUCCUGAAGGUAAUAUUAGGUUUGGGGCUAGGGUAAGGUUUAAGGUUUUUGGCGUUAGGGUUAAAAUCACUGUCCAAAACCUUUGUAGGAACUCUUUUCCAACCUUUGGAGCAAGUUAGACCAAAAAAAAAGAAAAAAAAAAAAUAUAUUUGGGGUGUUCGGGCUUCCUGAAGGUAAUACCCGGGUAUUAGGUUUUGGGGCUAGGGUAAGGUUUAAGGUUUUUGGCGUUAGGGUUAAAAUCACUGUCCAAAACCUUUGUAGGAACUCUUUUCCAACCUUUUGGAGUUAGUUAGACCAAAAAAAAUGUAAAAUGAAAAAAAAAAAAUAUUUGGGGUGUUCGGGCUUCCUGAAGGUAAUACCCGGGUAUUAGGUUAUGGGGCUAGGGUAAGGUUUAAGGUUUUUGGCGUUAGGGUUAAAAUCACUGUCCAAAACCUUUGUAGGAACUCUUUUCCAACCUUUUGGAGUUAGUUAGACCAAAAAAAAAAUGAAAAAUGAAAAAAUAUAUAUUUGGGGUGUUCGGGCUUCCUGAAGGUAAUACCCGGGUAUUAGGUUUUGGGGCUAGGGUAAGGUUUAAGGUUUUUGGCGUUAGGGUUAAAAUCAUCUGUCCAAUAUUUUUUAAGGAACAUGUUUCAGACCUUUUGGGAGUUAGUUAGACAAAAAAAAAAAAAAAAGAAAAAAAAAUAUUUGGGGUGUUCGGGCUUCCUGAAGGUAAUACCCGGGUAUUAGGUUUUGGGGCUAGGGUAAGGUUUAAGGUUUUUGGCGUUAGGGUUAAAAUCACUGUCCAAAACCUUUUUAGGAACAUGUUUCAGACCUUUUGGAGUUGGUAACACCAAAAAAAAAUGUAAAAUGAAAAAAAAAUAUUUGGGGUGUUCGGCUUCCUGAAGGUAAUACCCGGGUAUUAGGUUUUGGGGCUAGGGUAAGGUUUAAGGUUUUUGGCGUUAGGGUUAAAAUCACUGUCCAAAACCUUUGUAGGAACACUUUUCCAACCUUUUGGAGUUAGUUAGACCAAAAAAAAAAGAAAAAUGAAAAAAAAAAUAUUUGGGGUGUUCGGGCUUCCUGAAGGUAAUACCCGGGUAUUAGGUUAUGGGGCUAGGGUAAGGUUUAAGGUUUUUGGCGUUAGGGUUAAAAUCACUGUCCAAAACCUUUGUAGGAACUCUUUUCCAACCUUUUGGAGUUAGUUAGACCACAAAAAAUGAAAAAUGAAAAAAAAAAUAUAUUUGGGGUGUUCGGGCUUCCUGAAGGUAAUACCGGGGUAUUAGGUUUUGGGGCUAGGGUAAGGUUUAAGGUUUUUGGCGUAAGGGUUAAAAUCAGUGUCCAAAACCUUUUUAGGAACAUGUUUCAGACCUUUUGGAGAUGGUUACACCAAAAAAAAUGUAAAAUGAAAAAAAAAAUAUUUGGGGUGUUUGGGCUUCCUGAAGGUAAUACCCGGGUAUUAGGUUAUGGGGCUAGGGUAAGGUUUAAGGUUUUUGGCGUGAGGGUUAAAAUCACUGUCCAAAACCUUUGUAGGAAAGUCUUUUCCAACCUUUUGGAGUUAGUUAGACCAAUAAAAAAAUGAAAAUUAAAAAAAAAUAUUUGGGGUGUUCGGGCUUCCUGAAGGUAAUACCCGGGUAUUAGGUUAUGGGGCUAGGGUAAGGUUUAAGGUUUUUGGCGUUAGGGUUAAAAUCACUGUCCAAAACCUUUGUAGGAAGUCUUUUCCAACCUUUUGGAGUUAGUUAGACCAAAAAAAAAUGAAAAAUGAAAAAAAAAAAUAUUUGGGGUGUUCGGGCUUCCUGAAGGUAAUACCCGGGUAUUAGGUUUUGGGGCUAGGGUAAGGUUUAAGGUUUUUGGCGUUAGGGUUAAAAUCACUGUCCAAAACCUUUUAAGGAAAAAGAUUCAGACCUUUUGGAGUUGGUAACACCAAAGAAAAAUGUAAAAUGAAAAAGAAAAUAUUUGGGGUGUUCAAGCUUCCUGAAGGUAAUACCCGGGUAUUAGGUUUUGGGGCUAGGGUAAGGUUUAAGGUUUUUGGCGUAAGGGUUAAAAUCACUGUCCAAAACCUUUUUAGGAAUGUAUUUCAGGCCUUUUGGAGUUGGUUACACCAAAAAAAAUGUAAAAUGAAAAAAAAUUUUUUGGGGUGUUCGGGCUUCCUGAAGGUAAUACCCUUCAGGUUUAAGUAUUAGGUUAUGGGGCUAGGAUUAGGUUUAAGGUUUUUGGCGUAAGGGUUAAAAUCACUGUCCAAUAUUUUUUAAGGAACAUGUUUCAGACCUUUUGGAGCUAGUUUGACCAAAAAAAAAAGAAAAAGAAAAAAUAUAUAUUUGGGGUGUUCGGGCUUCCUGAAGGUAAUACCCGGGUAUUAGGUUAUGGGGCUAGGGUAAGGUUUAAGGUUUUUGGCGUGAGGGUUAAAAUCACUGUCCAAAACCUUUGUAGGAAGUCUUUUCCAACCUUUUGGAGUUAGACAAAAAAAAAAAGAUAAAUGAAAAAAAAAUAUUUGGGGUGUUCGGGCUUCCUGAAGGUAAAACCCGGGUAUUAGGUUAUGGGGCUAGGGUAAGGUUUAAGGUUUUUGGCGUAAGGGUUAAAAUCAGUGUCCAAAACCUUUUUAGGAACAUGUUUCAGACCUUUUGGAGUUGGUUACACAAAAAAAAAUGUAAAAUGAAAAAAAAUUUUUUUUGGGUGUUCGGGCUUCCUGAAGGUAAUACUAGGUUUCUGGGCUAGGGUAAUGUUUAAGGUUUUUGGCGUAAGGGUUAAAAUCAAUGUCCAAAACCUUUGUAGGAACUCUUUUCCAACCUUUGAGAGCAAGUUAGACCAAAAAAAAAUGAAAAAGAAAAAAUAUAUAUUUGGGGUGUUCGGGCUUCCUGAAGGUAAUACCCGGGUAUUAGGUUAUGGGGCUAGGGUAAGGUUUAAGGUUUUUGGCGUGAGGGUUAAAAUCACUGUCCAAAACCUUUGUAGGAAGUCUUUUCCAACCUUUUGGAGUUAGACAAAAAAAAAAGAUAAAUGAAAAAAAAAUAUUUGGGGUGUUCGGGCUUCCUGAAGGUAAUACCCGGGUAUUAGGUUAUGGGGCUAGGGUAAGGUUUAAGGUUUUUGGCGUAAGGGUUAAAAUCACUGUCCAAAACCUUUUUAGGAACAUGUUUCAGACCUUUUGGAGUUGGUUACACAAAAAAAAAUGUAAAAUGAAAAAAAUUUUUUGGGGUGUUCGGGCUUCCUGAAGGUAAUACCGGGUAUUAGGUUUGGGGCUAGGGUAAGUUUAAGGUUUUUGGCGUAGGGUUAAAAUCACUGUCCAAAACCUUUGUAGGAACUUUUCCAACCUUUUGGAGAGUUAGACCAAAAAAAAUGAAAAAAAAAAAAAAUAUUUGGGGUGUUCGGGCUUCCUGAAGGUAAUACCCGGGUAUUAGGUUAUGGGGCUAGGGUAAGGUUUAAGGUUUUUGGCGUUAGGGUUAAAAUCACUGUCCAAAACCUUUGUAGGAAGUCUUUUCCAACCUUUUGGAGUUAGUUAGACCAAAAAAAAAGGAAAAUGAAAAAAUAUAUAUUUGGGGUGUUCGGGCUUCCUGAAGGUAAUACCCGGGUAUUAGGUUUUGGGGCUAGGGUAAGGUUUAAGGUUUUUGGCGUAUAGGGUUAAAAUCACUGUCCAAAACCUUUGUAGGAAUCUUUUCCAACCUUUUGGAGUUAGUUAGACCAAAAAAAAUGAAAAUGAAAAAAAAAUAUUUGGGGUGUUCGGGCUUCCUGAAGGUAAUACCCGGGUAUUAGGUUAUGGGGCUAGGAUUAGGUUUAAGGUUUUUGGCGUAAGGGUUAAAAUCACUGUCCAAUAUUUUUUAAGGAACAUGUUUCAGACCUUUUGGAGUUAGUUAGACCAAAAAAAAAAGAAAAAGAAAAAAUAUAUAUUUGGGGUGUUCGGGCUUCCUGAAGGUAAUACCCGGGUAUUAGGUUUUGGGGCUAGGGUAAGGUUUAAGGUUUUUGGCGUGAGGGUUAAAAUCACUGUCCAAAACCUUUGUAGGAAGUCUUUUCCAACCUUUUGGAGUUAGACAAAAAAAAAAAGAUAAAUGAAAAAAAAAUAUUUGGGGUGUUCGGGCUUCCUGAAGGUAAUACCCGGGUAUUAGGUUAUGGGGCUAGGGUAAGGUUUAAGGUUUUUGGCGUUAGGGUUAAAAUCACUGUCCAAAACCUUUUUAGGAACUCUUUUCCAACCUUUUGGAGUUAGUUAGACCAAAAAAAAUGUAAAAUGAAAAAAAUAUAUAUUUGGGGUGUUCGGGCUUCCUGAAGGUAAUACCCGGGUAUUAGGUUAUGGGGCUAGGGUAAGGUUUAAGGUUUUUGGCGUUAGGGUUAAAAUCACUGUCCAAAACCUUUGUAGGAACUCUUUUCCAACCUUUUGGAGUUAGUUAGACCAAAAAAAAAAGAAAAAUGAAAAAAAAAUAUAUUUGGGGUGUUCGGGCUUCCUGAAGGUAAUACCCGGGUAUUAGGUUAUGGGGCUAGGGUAAGGUUUAAGGUUUUUGGCGUUAGGGUUAAAAUCACUGUCCAAAACCUUUUUAGGAACAUGUUUCAGACCUUUUGGAGUUAGUUAGAAAAAAAAAAAAAAAAUGAAAAAAAAAUAUUUGGGGUGUUCGGGCUUCCUGAAGGUAAUACCCGGGUAUUAGGUUAUGGGGCUAGGGUAAGGUUUAAGGUUUUUGGCGUAAGGGUUAAAAUCACUGUCCAAAACCUUUUUAGGAACAUGUUUCAGACCUUUUGGAGUUAGUUAGACCAAAAAAAAAAGUAAAAUAAAAAAAAAUUAUUUGGGGUGUUCGGGCUUCCUGAAGGUAAUACCCGGGUAUUUUUGGGGCUAGGGUAAUGUUUAAGGUUUUUGGCGAUAGGGUUAAAAUCACUGUCCAAAACCUUUGUAGGAACUCUUUUCCAACCUUUUGGAGUUAGUUAGACCACAAAAAAUGAAAAAUAAAAAAAAA